GCGUACACAAAGUGUGACAUUGCAUUGGUUCCUGAAUUCAGUCCCCAAUUCCCUCCCUACAGGAGCUGGAUCACAAGAUUGCCUUAUAUCUACAGGGAAACGUGCACCAUUGAGUAAGUUGAACCAGUAAGGGAGAUGGUACUUGAAUACAUGUCAAGUGAAAUCAGCUACUGCCCCAGCAAAUCGGCAGAGUAAAUUCACUAUAUGAUAAACAGAUUUAACUGUAAUCUAAGUCUAAUCCCCUUUAAAUCCAGUCGUAAUUUGGGAAACAUGCCA